GUGAGGAAUAUUGGACAAUGGAUGGAAAUCUGAUCUAGCCAUGCCGCGUGCAGGAAGACGGCCCUAUGGGUUGUAAACUGCUUUUAUACGGGAGCAAUAAGGUCUAUGCAUAGAUUGAUGAGAGUACCGUAUGAAUAAGCAUCGGCUAACUCCGUGCCAGCAGCCGCGGUAAUACGGAGGAUGUGAGCGUUAUCCGGAUUUAUUGGGUUUAAAGGGUGCGUAGGCGGCUUUGUAAGUCAGCGGUGAAAUUUUGCAGCUUAACUGUAAAAGCGCCGUUGAUACUGUGAAGCUAGGAUUUGGUUGCUGUGGGCGGAAUGUGUGGUGUAGCGGUGAAAUGCAUAGAGAUCACACAGAAUAUCGAUUGCGAAGGCAGCUCACAAAGCCAAUAUUGACGCUGAGGCACGAAAGUGUGGGGAUCAAACAGGAUUAGAUACCCUGGUAGUCC
rnacentral:rRNA from 1 species